rfam:Bombyx mori DNA, contig: Bm_scaf47_contig25628, strain: p50T/Dazao, build 2, whole genome shotgun sequence.
UUAACUCAAAUUCGUAUGGAGUUGAACGUUUGCCUACGUUUGCCGCUAGAGGCGCUGUUUCAACUACAUGCAAAUUUGAGUUA